UAAAAAAAAAAAUGAAAUUGACCAGUUAUUACUCACAAAACUGAACGUCUGACGCCAAUAAAAUGAUCAGAGAACUUUAUCUCUGCCGCUUGUAACCUGACAUUAAAAAUAAAAAAAGGAAGAAACAUUCGAAAAUAACAGUAAUAAAUGUGCUGUUGUUCUUACAACGAGUAUGAUGAUCAUCAUAAGAUAGAUGUUGCGCUAUCCAUAGCAUUUAAAUAUCUCCAAGUCGCGAUAAUAUUUUAACUACACGUUUAUACAUAUUACAUAUUACAUGCGCAGACGGAUGUCCCUCGGGCAGAGUUUUUGGUUAUUUUACUUAUAAUGUAAUGGUAAUAUUAAUUCGGGAAAUUGAAGGUGGAACCGAUUCAAAUAACAGAAAAAUCACUGUUAUUACCCGUUUGUAUUGCUCGUGGUCGUGGCCGGGCAAUAGAAGGAGGUGCGACUCCGGUACCUACAC